UACAGAGGGUGCGAGCGUUGUUCGGAAUUAUUGGGCGUAAAGCGCUCGCAGGUGGUUCGAUGCGUCGGGCGUGAAAGACCCCGGCUCAACUGGGGAGGGUCGUGCGAUACGGUCGAACUGGAGGCCAGUAGGGGGAUGCGGAAUUCCGGGUGUAGUGGUGGAAUGCGUAGAGAUCCGGAGGAACACCAGCGGCGAAGGCGGCAUCCUGGACUGGUCCUGACACUCAGGAGCGAAAGCGUGGGGAGCGAGCCGG
rnacentral:rRNA from 1 species